AGCACGGAGUACUACCUGUAUGAGAUUCCUCUGUUUAUCGUCAUGGGAGCCUUCGGUGGAUUGCUGGGAGCACUGUUCAACGUCCUGAACUACUGGCUCACCAUCCUCAGGAUCAGGUAUAUCCACCGGCCCUGCCUGCAGGUGAUCGAGGCCAUACUGGUUGCUGCCGUGACGGCCCACUGUGUUCUUCACUAUGAUCUACUUCUCCA